GGGGAAUCCCCUUUCUGUUACUCUAAAGAAUACAUAUGAAACUUCUUCGCCAAGACAACAACAUUAAGCUUGAACCGUAGAAUAGUUGCAUAUAUUUGUGGUGAAAGUUGGCAAAAAUUCUUUUCAAAUACUACAUGGAAAUGAGCCGAAAAUUGCACGCGGAGAGCUAGCGUGGAAACGUUUUACAAAAUAUGGCAGAGCUCUCAGAGCCGAGUUUUGAUCCGAAGCGAACGAUUGUGGUUUUAAAUUCCCCUUCAAGUGUCGGAGAAGACGAACUGACGAUUCAUUUUCAGAAGGAAAAAAAUGGCGGUGGAGAUGUCAACCAUGACAAUGUUGUGGUUCACGAAAAUGUUGCGUUUGUUCCUUUUCAUUUGCCUGAAGGUUUGAACUCUUUCAUUUAUAUCCUUCAAAUAAUGUACUUGUCAGCAAAUUUGUUACUGGUAGAAUAUUGCUGUGUAAGCAAAGUUUAAAAGAUAAAGAGCAGAGCUCAUAAACGUAAAAAAAUUUAUAGCUGACGUUUCGUUGUUCAUAAUACAACAUCUUCAGAGCAAUCUAAAUGAAUUUAUACAGGGUAUAUGGUAUAUAUAUUUACAAAAUAGUGGUUUAAUAUUACAAAAACGGUUACAUUAUUUUAAAACAAAAAAUGAAUAGAGAGAAAGGAAAACAAUAUCCGUAACUAGUUACUUAUAGUCUUAGUAAAGAUUAAUGUUAAGUGCAUGAUUAGUAUAGUUAAGGUUAAUAUUACAUAGCUAAAAGAGGAGUAGAUCUAAUAUGAGUAUUAUUAACGUAGCUUUCGCUUUACCCCGGUUUCGAUGUCUUUUGAUUUGCUGCCAGCCGGAACCUGCCGGCAAUUUGGUCGUAUGACGUUCUAUAUUACGACUUAUUUAUAUGUCCAUUAUCAGCCUGACAAACCACAGUUUGCUAUAAUUUUUCGCCAGUGCUACGGGACGAUCAAAUACAAAAUUUCAACUAAAUACUUCCCAUCGUUUGUCAACAGUCAAUUUAAGACAUUUUGUCAGGUGUCAAUCAUAAAUCCAGGCAAACGUCAUUAGUUAACCUUAUUCAGAGACUAUCCUAUUUUGUGUUUCUAGUUGCAACAAGCGUCCUGAAUCAUCCUGAACAAGUCAUCAAUGGUAGCAAGAUUGACGUUCAGAGUUAUGAAUCAUGGUUGGCAAACAACAAGGUCAAUAGUUUUAUAAUAAGCUUACUUCACUUAGUUUGUGAUUAUUGGAAAAAGCUUAAUGAAAACUUGGACUUUGGACUCGACCAAAAGUUCUUUGUGAGGGUCUAUGCUUCUAUUAAUAAUGUUCCUAGCUUUCGCCAAAAUAUGUCCGAGUGUUUGUAAUAAUUUUUAGGUAGUUCACACACAAACCAUAAGAGCUAAUUUACUUGAUUUAACUCAGACACAGGAAGGCAGUUCUGCGGUAGACAACCAAGAAUACAGUCAACCAGAAGAUGCAGCAAGUGCAGUUAAAACAAUUUAUGUCAGUGAUAUUAAAGAUUCAACAACGAAAGAUUCCAUUACCUUGUUCUUUGAGACAAACAAACGUUCUGGUGGUGGAGACUUAUGCGAGGGCAAAGAGGGAUACAAGCGACUCUCAGCAACUGUUGCCCGUCUGACAUUUGUUUCCUCAAAAGGUAACUCGGUCUCUAACUCUUGCAUCUUUAGCUCUUGCAUCCUCUUUAAUUCUUUCCGUUGUUCUAAUUCCAUCACAUCAUCCUGAUAUUUGUCUUCCUCGGGGCAUUUGAUGUCAUUUUUGUCUUCUUCUGGUUUCUUUCCCUUUUAACUGUGUAUUCUUAUCCGACGUAACUCAAAUUUUUGCAUUAUGGUAUAUUUUUCUGACAAAUCUCUUCCAUCCUUUCUUAGCUAACUUUCUAUCAUCCAUUUUAAUCAAAUAUUCAAACCAUUUGACAUUCUUAUGAUAUUCUUUAAUCAAAAUCUUCUAAGUAACUAUCAAUAUAAAAUUUCAAUUUAUAUGUUUAGACGCACAAAAUGUGCUCAAAAAAGCCAAUGAAACACGGCUCAAACUGGAGGGCAAUAUGUUAAAAGUGAGCACUGUAUUUGAGCCGACCCAUGACAGAAGCAUUCUACUGGCAAAUAAACUUAAUCCAAAGACGAGCAAAGAAACGCUUCAAAACUUUGUAGAAUCAACAAAAAGUGUUGAUGUUUUAAACGUUGUUUUGGGGAAAGAUGGUAAAGCUAUUGUGAUAUUAAAAAAUGAAAUCGGUAGGUAUAUAUGCUUUGGGUUUGGUAAUUAAAUUUAUGCCUGUUAACUUGUGAGUGAGAAACGUCCUAACAUUUAUGUUGCAGCUGGAAGAACACGUUAAUAUUCGAUUAAAAAAUUAUUUUACAUUUAGACGAAGAAUAUUCAAACGUAGUAAGCUCGGAUGAAGAUUUGAAGUUAGAAGGCUCCAUUAUUUCCCUGGAAUUUGCUCCACUGACCAAAGGCAUUAAAAUCAGCAACAUACCACCAGGAACGAGCUCAGAUGAUAUCAAGUUCAAAUUCUCAAAUCCAAAAUAUGGUGGUAGUAAAGUGGUGGACAUGAUGCUCGAUACAAACAAUGGACACGCUAAUGUUUAUUUCGAAA
rnacentral:lncRNA from 1 species